CGCUGGCGGCGUGCCUAAUACAUGCAAGUCGAACGGUCUUUCUAUGGAAGCUUGCUUCCACUGAGAAGAUAGUGGCGAACGGGUGAGUAACACGUGGGUAACCUGCCCAUAAGAGGGGGAUAACAUCCGGAAACGGGUGCUAAUACCGCAUAGUUUUCUUGAUUGCAUGAUUGAGAAAGGAAAGACGGCCUUUGUGCUGUCGCUUAUGGAUGGACCCGCGGCGUAUUAGUUAGUUGGUGAGGUAACGGCUCACCAAGACGAUGAUACGUAGCCGACCUGAGAGGGUGAUCGGCCACAUUGGGACUGAGACACGGCCCAAACUCCUACGGGAGGCAGCAGUAGGGAAUCUUCCGCAAUGGACGAAAGUCUGACGGAGCAACGCCGCGUGAGUGAAGAAAGGUUUUCGGAUCGUAAAACUCUGUUGUCAGAGAAGAACAAGUUGGAGAGUAACUGCUCCAGCCUUGACGGUAUCUGACCAGAAAGCCACGGCUAACUACGUGCCAGCAGCCGC
rnacentral:rRNA from 1 species